CUCCGUGCUCACGAGAGAAAGACCCGGAGGAGCUGCAGGCUGAGCUGUCGGGUCCUCUCUCCCUCCCCUGCUGGCUGCCAGCACAGUCCCUGUGGACCGGGAAGGGGGAUCUCUGAUCUCCCCUCCCAUCCGUGAAGGCACAUUGCAGGGCCGGCGCCUGCAUAUGCUGGCAGGGAAGAGGGAGACCUUUGGUCUGCUUGGU